CAAGGAGUCCAACAUGUGCGCGAGUCUAAGGGUUGUGUAAACCUGGAGGCGAAAUGAAAGUGAGCUCCCUUUUUGGGGGCAGGCCGAUCCCUUGUCAGCGACCGGGGUGCUUGGCAGGCAGUACUUGGUGGGCGGACUUUGUCUGCGUAGCAUGCCUGCUGGGUGCUUUUGGUGGUUGGCGGUCUUACUCCGAAAGGGGCAGAUAUUGGGGCGCAGGCCGAGGACUUGCCAUAGUGCGGCGCGGGCAACGGGUUGCUCUCGGGCUUCCUUAUCCCGAUGUCCGCCGGCAAGUACCUGAGAGCGCAGCCGUUGGGACCCGAAAGAUGGUGAACUAUGCCUGGCGAGGACGAAGCCAGAGGAAACUCUGGUGGAGGUCCGAAGCAGUUCUGACGUGCAAAUCGAUUGUCAGAGCUGGGUAUAGGGGCGAAAGACUAAUCGAACCAUCUAGUAGCUGGUUCCCUCCGAAGUUUCCCUCAGGAUAGCUGGCGUUGAUUGGAUGAGUUUCAUCCGGUAAAGCGAAUGAUUAGAGGCCUUGGUGGUGCAAUGCCGUCAACCUAUUCUCAAACUUUAAAUGGGUGAGACGUAGAGCUUGCUUGAAACGUGAAGCUUUAUGUUAUGAUUGAAUCAGAAUGCCUA
rnacentral:rRNA from 1 species